GGCUGGUUUGAUUGCAGUGAUAAUUAUCUAUAAUUAUAUAAUAAUUGAUUGAUUGCAGCCAGUUAGAGAUUUCUUCAUUUUUUUCUCUGUUCCCACUGUUUCAUUUAACUAACCUAUA
ensembl:Y_RNA Y_RNA Y RNA